rnacentral:rRNA from 1 species
CACGCAGGGCGCAAGCGUUGUCCGGAAUUAUUGGGCGUAAAGAGCUCGUAGGCGGUCUGUUGCGUCCGCUGUGAAAACUCGGGGCUUAACCCCGAGCCUGCAGUGGAUACGGGCAGACUAGAGGUAGGUAGGGGAGAAUGGAAUUCCAGGUGUAGCGGUGAAAUGCGUAGAUAUCUGGAGGAACACCGGUGGCGAAGGCGGCAUCCUGGACCGACACUGACGCUGAGGAGCGAAAGCCAGGGGAGCAAACGGG